rnacentral:rRNA from 1 species
CGUAGGUGGCAAGCGUUGUCCGGAUUUAUUGGGUUUAAAGGGUAGCGUAGGCGGCUUUGUAAGUCAGUGGUGAAAUAUGGCAGCUCAACUGUCAAGGUGCCAUUGAUACUGCAGAGCUUGAGUACAGGAUGAGGUAGGCGGAAUUGACGGUGUAGCGGUGAAAUGCUUAGAUAUCGUCAAGAACACCUAUAGCGAAGGCAGCUUACUAGGCUGUAACUGACGCUGAGGCACGGAAAGUGUGGGAUCAAACAGGAUU